GCAUUAUAUGCCUCGAUAGAAGAUAAAAAUCGUAUACAAUUACCAAAAUAUUUAAAUUGUCAUUUCUUUCAAUAUUGCCCACAUGACGAACUUUUAGCAAGUCUGACGUCAUCGUGACGUUUUUUCCCUUGGGGUUUUUCCCCCCCAGCCUUAUUUUGCCAACCUUGAAAUGUACAAAAAAAACAUUGCGAUUUGCUGACGCUUUCCCAAUCCUAUACUGUUUGGGUUUUUCCUGUGGACACUCUGGAGUCCGGACAGUUUAUUUAGUGUUCAGACUUCAGAUGAGCGUCGCACUCGCACGGUCGUUGUUCAGUCACCUCCAAUUUUCUACAAUCUACAUUUAAAUAAACACACACAAAAAAAAGACGGGAGUUUAAUU